rnacentral:ncRNA from 2 species
AACUCUGUGACGGGAGAGAUACAAGAGUAUCGCCGAAGGAGCAACCGCCCCGGAAACUCUCAGGCAACCGGACCGUCAUCGUAGU